rnacentral:lncRNA from 1 species
UUUCCUUCCUCUCUUCCUCCUCCUGGCUCCCAACUUGUUUCUUCUUUCUUAUGUGCCAGUUGCUGUGCUGAGGAUAUGAAGCUAAAUAAGCCUCUCUCCUUUUCCUCAUGAAGCUCAAAAGCUUAGAUAGGAAGCAAAUAAAUAUAAUAUAGCAUGAUAAUUGCAAGAAUAUUAACAUGUCCAAAAGUUAAAGAGAGAAAGCAUAAAGAAGAAAGUGAUGAGCUCUGAGGGGUUGAGGCUUUUGCUCUCUCUUAAAUUGAUUGCUAUUUAGCACCCAUCAAAAGCUCUGCAGAGGGGACCAUCAUUAACGGCAUUUACGAAGACAUCCACUUAUUCCAACAGGAGGAAGACCAACGCUUCUUAUCAUAAACACAAGUUCCUGCUAUACACAACACAUCCUUGAAUUCUAGGGAAGCCAAGAUGUACAUGAAAUGACUGCAGGUCUUAAAGGUCUUGAAUCUAAUUGUGGCACUGGGGCAUAUGUAGAGAUAAAUAUCACGUAGCAUAUGCUAAGGUGAUUUCGAAGAUCUAUUCUAUCUUAAGACACUGUAAGUCUAAUUAUUAAAUGAGCAAUACAGACAUUUA